UAGUGCAGUACGUCCACAUGGAGCUGAAAAACAUAGCUUUUGUGUUCCAAGGAGUCCCUUAAAUUGAAGCAAAUUUAAACUAGGCUGCAAGGAUCCCAUCCAGGAUAUCAUCCCACACAUUUAGUCUUUUUUGUUUUUGUUUUUUAUUGAGGUAUAGUUGAUGUACAGUAUUAUAUAAGUUUCAGAAAACCAGCAUAACUAACCAUCUGUAGACUAUUGGAGGACAUCAGCUGCAAAUAAGAUAUAAGAUUAACAAGACUGCUUCACUCCUGAGGCUCAUAAUCUAACUCUGAGAGCAAGUUGCGGGAAUGAAUUUCAAAAUGCUGAUGGGAACAUCACUGGAAUUCAUAAAUAAAUAUCAUGACCGCUUUGUAAAAGACAACACAUAUUUGGAGGGCACACGGGUUCGAGCCCUGGUCUGGGAAGAUCCCACAUGCUGCAGAGCGACUAAGCCCGUGAGCCACAACUACUGAGCCUGCGCGUCUGGAGCCUGCGCUCCGCAACAGGAGAGGCCGCGAUAGUGAGAGGCCCGCGCACCGCGAUGAAGAGUGGCCCCCGCUUGCCACAACUAGAGAAAGCCCUCGCACAGAAACGAAGACCCAACACAGCCAUAAAUAAAUAUAAAAUAAAUAAAUAAAUUUAUUUUUAAAAAAGUACAUAAAUGGCAGAAAUAAUGUGAAAGUAUAAACAUCAAGAGAUAAAUACUACAAUGUACUAUUAUAAAGAGAAACUUCUGCUUGUUCUUUGAUAUUUAAAUGUUUGCUGUUUAUUCAGCAUAUGACCUGAUUCAAAUUAUUUACAAUUCAAGUAUUUGUGUCUACUGUGGAGCUUGUUUUGGCUGUUUAGUCUAAAAUGGUUCUCCUUGUUAUUUCUUGUAUACUGUAUACAACCUAGAUUAGCAUAAUCACUGUGAUUAACAUUAAUUGAGGAGCAGAAAUGAAAAUGGUUGCUGAAAACAGUUUGGCUGAUAUGUACAAUGGUAAAAUUUUGUAUUACAUGAAUAGUCAAAUUAUAACAUUUGACUUUAGUUCUAAAGUCUCUGAAGCAUUAGUGGGAAAAUAGAGGGCAUAGAUGAAUAUACAAACGUAUGCUAGACAAAAAUGCAGAUGUGAUCUGUAUAGGAAUAUGCACUGCCGUCCUAAUGUAUUUACUGGGAGCACCAUAACAUGGCUGUUAGGAGUAUAGACUUUACAAUUAUGCUAAGACACAAGUCGAUCCUUGUUUAAUUGUUAGCUGUGUAACUGUGAGUCAGUUAGUGAAUCUCUCCAGAGCUCAGUUUUCUUACUCGUAAAAUGGGAAUAAUUAAUAUAACUUAUUUAGUAAGGUGGUUGUAAGUCUUAAAUAAAACUCUUUAUGCAAAUUUUUUGGCAUAAUGUUAGGCAAAUGAUAAAUUUUUAAAAAUAUUAUCUAUGAUCUAUCACAUCUUUGAUUUUUUUUCUGCUGUUUCAUUGCCUAAUGUCACAUUCUUCUUCAUCAUUCUGCACUUUAUUUCAUACUCUUUCCACUAUAGUUUUCACUGUUUGUAAUGUUAAUGACUUCCAUAAAUUUACUUUCCUUUUCA